rnacentral:rRNA from 1 species
UAGCAAUACGAUGGAAAGUCUAGUGGCGAACGGGUGCUUAACACGUGGGCAACCUGCCAGGAAGUGGGGGAUAGCUCGCCGAAAGGCGAAUUAAUACCGCAUGUGAUUAGAGAGGACAUCCUUUCGAAAUUAAAGUCGGGGCAACCCGACGCUUCUUGUGGGGCCCGCGGCCUAUCAGCUAGUUGGUGAGGUAACGGCUCACCAAGGCUUUGACGGGUAGCUGGUCUGAGAGGACGACCAGCCACACUGGGACUGAGACACGGCCCAGACACCUACGGGUGGCAGCAGUCGAGAAUUUUUGACAAUGGGGGAAACCCUGAUCGAGCGACGCCGCGUGGAGGAUGAAGGUCUUCGGAUUGUAAACUCCUGUCAUUGGGGAACAAGGUGCAUAUGUUAACUGCGUGUGCAUUGAUAGUACCCGAAGAGGAAGAGACGGCUAACUCUGUGCCAGCAGCCGCGGUAAUACAGAGGUCUCAAGCGUUGUUCGGAUUCAUUGGGCGUAAAGGGUGCGUAGGCGGCGCGGUAAGUCGGGUGUGAAAUCUCGGAGCUUAACUCCGAAACUGCAUUCGAUACUGCCGUGCUUGAGGACUGGAGAGGAGACUGGAAUUCACGGUGUAGCA